rnacentral:piRNA from 1 species
UGCACAUAUUGGCAUGGACUACAAAACUU